rnacentral:rRNA from 1 species
UACGUAGGGGGCAAGCGUUGUCCGGAUUUAUUGGGCGUAAAGAGCGUGUAGGCGGCCAAGCAGGUCCGCUGUGAAAACUCGAGGCUCAACCUCGAGACGUCGGUGGAAACCGUUUGGCUAGAGUCCGGAAGAGGAGAGUGGAAUUCCCGGUGUAGCGGUGAAAUGCGCAGAUAUCGGGAAGAACACCCGUGGCGAAGGCAGCACUCUGGGACGUGACUGACGCUGAGACGCGAAAGCGUGGGGAGCAAACAGG